GCCCAGACUCCUACGGGAGGCAGCAGUGGGGAAUAUUGCACAAUGGGGGAAACCCUGAUGCAGCGACGCCGCGUGAGUGAAGAAGUAUUUCGGUAUGUAAAGCUCUAUCAGCAGGGAAGAAAAUGACGGUACCUGAUUAAGAAGCCCCGGCUAACUACGUGCCAGCAGCCGCGGUAAUACGUAGGGGGCAAGCGUUAUCCGGAUUUACUGGGUGUAAAGGGAGCGUAGACGGCAGCGCAAGUCUGAAGUGAAAUGCCGGGGCUUAACCCCGGAACUGCUUUGGAAACUGGGCAGCUAGAGUGCAGGAGAGGUAAGCGGAAUCCCUGGUGUAGCGGUGAAAUGCGUAGAUAUCAGGAGGAGCACCGGCGGCGAAGGCGGAUUACUGGACUGUAACUGACGUUGAGGCUCGAAGGCGUGGGCAGCGAACAGGAUUAGAUACCCCCGUAC
rnacentral:rRNA from 1 species